GGAGCCGUCUGGCAGGAGUAAUUUUCGUGGCUUGAUGUGUCCCGUAUGAGUCGACUCCGGGUUUCAUAAAAAUCCAACACGGUUGUGAAUAAUAAUUUGUGUUAUCUGCCCCCCUCCUGCUCCUCCUUUCUUUCUCUGUCUCUAUCGGCCAGGGUUUAGAGAGAGGAGGAAUGCAGGCGAGCUGAACUGAAGCAAAGUCAAGAUAGCCAUUACCUCGGGCAGCUUCCGGUGGUGAUUUUCAAACUAAAAACAAGUUUCAGUGUAGUCGAAAAUCACCACUAGGACCUUUUUCCUCGGAAUUCUACCCUGGCCAUUUUGGCAUAUUGGCCCUAAUCCUCUUCUGCAUUUUGAGAAUAAAGUCUAACUUUCGAUCUAAAAGUCAAAAUAUUAUUUUCAGGAUAAAGUCUAAAUAACAUUCUGAGGAUGAAGUCGAAAUGUAAAGAUUAAAGUUAUAUUUUCAACACUAAUAACUGCCAUGGCUGGUAGAUGAGUUAGUCAAAUGAUUUGAUCAGCCAUCUUAUUGUGUCUAAUAGAACAUCUAUUUUCCACCAAAGCGUAACUUUUGGGGUCCUUGCAUCUAUCCACUGCCAGUCUUUUUUUUUUUAAGUACACAUGUUUUUAAGUAGAUUUUAUUUAGUUUUUUUGGGUUCUAUAGCAUAAAUUUGGUCAUUUAAUUUGGUCCACUAUGGAAAAUAACUUGACCUUUAUUUUCAGAAGAAGAUCUGUUUUCUUCAGUCUGAAGAAGAAGAACAGAAUGAUUCUUUAUUGACAAUUACUGAACAUAGAUUAAGUCAAUUCAGUAAACCAAUAAACCCAUAAUAGCUUCGUGCUGCCAGGUAUUUUUAUUUAUUUCUUUUUUCGUUUUUGGUACCAGGCUGAAAACGUGCUCUUUUAACACUGUUUGGUUGGGCAUUUUAAUAUUGGAGUUCGGGGACUGACUGACUUUUGGAACCAGCCUCAAGUGACCAUUAGAUGAACUGCAUAGUUUUUAUCAUUUCUUUGUUGGUUUCAUUUUUCAGUCAUGGGUGAUUUUUUUUUCUCUCUUUAAGCUCCUUGAUGUUUAUUUUGAAACCUCCUCGCACAAGCUUCCGUUCUGUUACACGCGCUCUCUGGCUGACCUGACGCAUUUUCAAUCCCCUUCUACUCUCCCUUCCUCCCGCUACUCAACCCGCUCCCCUCCAUCCCUCCCUCCUUCCGGAUCAACGCUACGGCCAUCACGUGACCUGUCACUGAAGUGUGUCACGUUUUAACCGGGAGGAGAUGAGGGACGAGCCGGGGAGGAAGGGCCGGGGAUCGUACAUACUAAAGGGCUUACAGCAUUUGUUAAAGGCCUGGACUCUCUAUUACCCGCUUGUGUGUGUGUGUGAUUUAUUCCUCACAGAGUAAAGGGACAUUUAGGCGGAAACGGGAUUUAAAUAGUGAUUUGUUCACUUUAUUAAUAAGUAACAUGUGAGUAUAAUAGUAACAGUCUAUAGUCAGUAAAUGAAGGUUGCAAUAUUUGCC
ensembl:lncRNA